rnacentral:rRNA from 1 species
ACCCGCUGAAUUUAAGCAUAUAAGUGAGUGGAGGACGAUAAACUAAACAUGCAUUCCUAAGUAAUGGCGAAUGAACAGGAAGUUGCACAUCGCGGAAUACAGCGCUUCUUGCUCUGGCUUGCAUUCGCAAGAUGUACUAGCAACAGAGGUGCAGGUGUGAGCCUUUUGGAAAGGAGCAAUGACAAGGGUGAGAAUCCCAUCUUGGCGUCUGCAACCUUCCCGGUGCAUGGUAUACAUUCUCAGAGUCACGCUCUUUGGGCCUUGAGCGCGAAGCAGGUGGUAGGAUUCACACAAAGCUUUACAUCGGCCUGAAACCGAUAGCAAACAAGUACCAUGAGGGGAAGGUGAACAAGGACUUUGGAAAGAAAGUUAAAUGUGCUUGAACUUGUUGAAAGGAAAGUGGUUGCAAUCUAUGUGACUUGGUGAGAUUGUUGUGCAUGGGAGAUGUUAUUGUCAGCUUGUCCAAAUGUCGUGAUGGGCUCACCAACCGGCUGUGCACAAUGUUCCUCUCCUGACCAUUGCUAGCCACAACUGGCCCACGUGUGGUGAAACAAACAGGGGGUGGUAGUUUACCCCAGGGUAGAUGGGCGUGCCCUGUCGUACCCGCACAGAGCUAUCAGCGGCAACAUGGUUACCACCAGCCCGUCUUGAAACACGGACCAAGGAGUCUAAUGCACAUGCAAGUUUCUGGGCACAUGCACGCCUGGUUGCGCAAUGAAAGUAUAUGCUUGGAUAUCUGCACAAGCAACUGACCAAUCAAUUGAGUGCGGUUUGAGUGCGAGCAUGCCUGUUAGGCCCCGAAAGAUGGCGAACUAUGCCUGUGCAGGGCAAACCCAGAGGAAACUCUGAUGGAGGCCCGCAGCGAUACUGACGUGCAAAUCGUUCGUCGCACAUGGGUAUAGGGGCGAAAGACUAAUCGAGCCAUCUAGUAGCUGGUUCCCUCCGAAGUUUCCCUCAGGAUAGCUGGAGUUGAGCAGUAUCACCAAGUAAAGCGAAUGGUUGGAGGAAUCAGGGGCUCGCUGCCUUUGACCUACUUCCAAACUUUAAAUGGGUAAGCAUCAGUGGCUACUUGGGUGAGCUUCUGGAACACAUGGAAACUUUAAGUGGACCAUUUUUGGUAAGCAGAACUGGUGAUGAGGGAUGAACCUAAUGUUGGGUUAAGGCGCUUCAUUGCUCGCACAUCAGAUACCAUAAAGGGUGUUGGUUCAUUUAGACAGCAGGACAGUGGUCAUGGAAGUCGAAAUCUGCUAAGGAGUGUGUAACAACUCACCUGCCGAAUGGACUAGCCCCGAAAAUGGAUGGCGCUCAAGCGGGUUGCUGAUUCCCAACCAUUGGUACAACUGUGUUGCGCCGAUGUGUAGGAGGGCAUGUGGGGUGUGUGUUGUGAAGCCUCUGAUGGAAGGCUGGGUGAAAUCGUCUCGGGUGCAGAUCUUGGUGGUAGUAGC